rnacentral:rRNA from 1 species
ACAGGAAAUUUAAGGGCGUACGGUGGAUGCCUAGACUAAAAAUGGCGAUGAAGGACGUAGCGUAACUGCGAUAAGCUUCGGGGAGGUGUGUAGCAACCUUUGAUCCGGAGAUUUCCGAAUGGGGAAACCCUGUCUCGUAAACCGAGAUAAUUUUUUACGUAAGUAAAAGAAGCGUACCCUGGGAAGUGAAACAUCUCAGUACCAGGAGGAAAAGAAAAAAAUAUUUAUUUUCUUAGUAGCGGCGAGCGAAAAGGAAAGAGCCCAAACCGAUGUAGCAAUACAUCGGGGUUGUAAGAUAACAAUUUAGAUUUAUCUAGGAGAGUCAAAAAAUAAAAUAUUAGCUUAAGUUGCUGGAAAGCGACACCAUAGAGGGUGAUAGUCCUGUGAGCGAAAAUAUUUUAUCUCUUUUAUUGUUAUUCUUGAGUACCCCAGGACAUGAAUGGCCGGGGGGAAUCUGCCGGAACUAACCGGCAAGGCUAAAUACAUUUUUAGAUCGAUAGUGAACUAGUACCGUGAGGGAAAGGUGAAAAGCAGUCCGAUUAGGACAGUGAAAUAGACCUGAAACCGUAUGUCUACAAGGAGUUGGAGCAGGUAUUUAUAUCUGCGACAGCGUGCCUAUUGAAGAAUGAGCCAACGAGUUUAUGCAUACUGCUCGGCAAAGUUCUCUAAACGAACAGAGCCACAGGGAAACCGAGUGUUAAUAGCGCGUAAUUGGUAGAAUGCAUAAGACCCGAAGCGAGGUGAGCUUGCCAUGAGCAGGAUGAAGUAGAGCGAAAGCUUUAUGGAGGUCCGAACGGGUAGAUCGUACAACGUCUUCCGAUGACUUGUGGUAAGGAGUGAAAAGCUAAUCGAACCUCGUAAUAGCUGGUUCUCUCCGAAAUAGCUUUAGGGCUAGCGUCGUGUGUUUCUUUUGGGGGUAGAGCACUGGAAAGUCUCGACAGGUCGCAAGAUCGCGAGACUUAUCAAACUCCGAAUACCAGAAGUAAGAGCGCGGCAGUUAGGCUAUGGGGGCGAAGCUCCAUUGGCCAAAAGGGAAACAGCCCGGAUCUCAAUAUAAGGUCCCUAAAUUCAUGCUAAGUGUAAAAUAAGAAGGUGAUAUUUCUUAAACAAUGAGGAGGUUGGCUUAGAAGCAGCCACCCUUUAAAGAUAGCGUAACAGCUCACUCAUCUAGAGAUUUCGCGUCGAAAAUAAUUGGGGCUAAGCAUGGUACCGAAUGUGAGGAUUUUAAUUGUCUUAGGACACCUAAAGUGGUAGGAGAGUGUUCCAAUCUGCUGUGAAGUAGGACUUGUGAGAGCCUAUGGAGCGUUUGGAAGUAAGAAUGUUGGCACAAGUAACCGCAAUGAUGCUGAGAACGCAUCACGUCGAAAGAUCAAGGUUUCCUUGGUAAUGUCAAUCAGCCAAGGGUUAGUCGGGCCUAAGGGAAUGGCGAAAGCCGUACUCGAUGGACACAGGGUUAAUAUUCCCUGACUUCUGUAUUUAGUGAUGGAAGGACGAAGUGUAGUAUGUAUUGCUCAUUAUUGGAUUUGAAGUUUGUUUACUAGGGAUGAUGUGUAGGAAAAUCCGCACGCUACUUUUAAUGGUGAAUCCGAGGUAAAUGAAAAGCUUUAGUCUACGGGCUAGGGCUAUAAUACAAAGCACGCUUCCAAGAAAAAUUUCUAAACUUAUAAAUAUAGAAUCCGUACCGCAAACCGACACAGGUGAUCAGGUCGAGUAGACCAAGACGAACGAGUGAGUGGUCCCCAAGGAACUCGGCAAAAAAGCAGCCGUAACUUCGGGAUAAGGCUUCCCAUUUAUUUAUUUAAGUGGGCGCAGCGAAAGUAUCUCUGGCAACUGUUUACCAAAAACACAGCUCCCUGCGAACUCGUAAGAGGAUGUAUAGGGGGUGACACCUGACCAAUGCCAGAAGGUCAAAUAUCGACGGUGAGUGGUCGCAAGAUUAUUUGCAGAUUGAUAUAAGCCCUGGUGAAUGUCGGCCGUAACUAUAACGGUCCUAAGGUUCUGCGUACAACUUCGGUUGCGCGUAGAAUGACUGGGACCGGAAUAGAAAAAAGUAAACAAUUAAAUUAAAAAAUUAUUAGACUAUUCGAAUGCUACCUUCUGUACAGUAAUGUACAGGAAGUCAAAACUUGGCUAACGAGAGACCAGCGUCAAGCAUCCUACUCCUUAAACAGAGGAUGAAGAUAGAGUCCUUCUUAGGUAUAGAAGAGCGAAAUACCUUGUCGGGUAAGUUCCGACGCGCACGAAUGGUGUAAUGACUGGNNUACAAUACCGGUGAAGAUGCCGGUUAAGUGCAGUUAGACGAAAAGACCCUAGAAGCUUUACUAUAACUUGAUAUUGAGUAUGUUUUUUUACUGCGUAGGAUAGAUGGGAGAGGUCUGAUGUAUACGGUUUCGGCUGUAUUCUACUCGUCAGUGAAAUACCAUUCUGUACGGAGGCAUAUUCUAACCAAUACGGCAAAAACGUAUUGAGACAGUAUCUGGUGGAUAGUUUUACUGGGGCUGUACCCUCCUAAAAAGUAAAGGAGGGGUUUAAAGGUAAUCUAGGCGCGAAUGGAAACCGUGCCGAUAGUGUAAUAGCACAAGAUUGCUUGACUGUAAGAGGUACAUCUCGAGCAGGUGGGAAACCAGAAUAUAGUGAACCGACUCUACGCAUUAGACGCGGGAGAAGAUUAACGGAUAAAAGCUACUCUAGGGAUAACAGGCUAGUUCCGCCCAAGAGUUCAUAUCGACGGCGGAGUUCGGCACCUCGAUGUCGGCUCACCUUAGCGCGGCGGCGGAGAAGCUGCCAAGCGUAUGGCUGUUCGCCAUUUAAAAAGGUACGCGAGCUGGGUUCAGACCGUUAAGAUUGUAAAUGUAAAUUUGCAGUUUUAAUAGUCUGAGCCCUCAGAGGAAGAGAGUUUGUAAAAAACUCAAAAUGUUUUAAUCGAAGACAACCAAGUACAUUAAAUUGUACACACGGCGGUUCUCAAAUUUAUUUUUGAGAAAGAAGUCGGGGUUUUCGGAGGAAUCCUAUCCCGUUUACGGGAGGACAACACCGAGAAGAAUUAAAAAUUCUUUGUAGAGACUACAAACCGACCCCAAUAUGGGAACGUAUAGUCCAAUCCCCAAAGUAAUUUGGGACGUAGAUGCGUGAGACAGGUUGGU